rnacentral:rRNA from 1 species
UACGAAGGGGCGAGCGUUGUUCGGAUUUACUGGGCGUAAAGGGCGCGCAGGCGGCUAUCCAAGUCAGGCGUGAAAGCCCCGGGCUUAACCUGGGAGGUGCGUCUGGGACUGGGUGGCUAGAGAUCGGGAGAGGAGAGUGGAAUUCCCAGUGUAGAGGUGAAAUUCGUAGAUAUUGGGAAGAACACCGGUGGCGAAGGCGGCUCUCUGGACCGAUACGUGACGCUGAGGCGCGAAAGCGUGGGGAGCAACAGGAGUUAGAA